UGCAUUAUUCUAGUACAAAAGAAACUCCAAUUUCUUUUGUGCUUCUUUAGCCAUGUGCAUUUUGAAGACAUCUUAAGAUGUUUUAUUUCAAUUAAUCUUCACUAACUUCAGCUAGAGGGACUUAGAAAAUUAAUGAUUAUUCAAAAUUUACAAAGCUAAGGAAGUAUGUAAGAACUUCCAAAUGAGUCCACAUUUCUCC